UAGAGCCUUUGAUUCCUCUCCUCGACUAUUAGGAUACGAGUUGUCUUACUCGACUAUCUGAGUAAUCGUCAUCCAACCAAAAAUAUCUUAAUACAUCAAAUUUAUCUUUCCUCGCUCCCGUGCGAUAGAAACCAAUCAAACAAAACACCCAACAUGUUAAUCCAACUUGUCACCCAUCUGUGACCAAAACUCUUUUAAG
rnacentral:lncRNA from 1 species